rnacentral:rRNA from 1 species
UACGUAGGGUGCAAGCGUUAAUCGGAAUUACUGGGCGUAAAGCGUGCGCAGGCGGCUAUGCAAGACAGAUGUGAAAUCCCCGGGCUCAACCUGGGAACUGCAUUUGUGACUGUAUAGCUAGAGUACGGUAGAGGGGGAUGGAAUUCCGCGUGUAGCAGUGAAAUGCGUAGAUAUGCGGAGGAACACCGAUGGCGAAGGCAAUCCCCUGGACCUGUACUGACGCUCAUGCACGAAAGCGUGGGGAGCAAACAGG